rnacentral:rRNA from 1 species
UACGUAGGGUGCAAGCGUUGUCCGGAAUUAUUGGGCGUAAAGAGCUCGUAGGCGGCCUGUCGCGUCUGCUGUGAAAUCCCGGGGCUCAACCCCGGGCGUGCAGUGGAUACGGGCUGGCUGGAGGCAGGCAGGGGAGAACGGAAUUCCUGGUGUAGCGGUGAAAUGCGCAGAUAUCAGGAGGAACACCGGUGGCGAAGGCGGGUCUCUGGGCCGAUACUGACGCUGAGGAGCGAAAGCGUGGGGAGCGAACAGG